GAUGAACGCUGGCGGCGUGCCUAAUACAUGCAAGUCGAGCGAACAGACGAGGAGCUUGCUCCUCUGACGUUAGCCGCGGACGGGUGAGUAACACGUGGAUAACCUACCUAUAAGACUGGGAUAACUUCGGGAAACCGGAGCUAAUACCGGAUAAUAUAUUGAUCCGCAUGGUUCAUUAGUGAAUGACGGUUUUGCUGUUACUUAUAGACGGAUCCGCGCCGCAUUAGCUAGUUGGUAAGGUAACGGCUUACCACGGCAACGAUGCGUAGCCGACCUGAGAGAGUGAUCGGCCACACUAGAACUGAGACACGGACCAGACUCCUACGGGAGGCAGCAGUAGGGAAUCUUCAGCAAUGGGCGGAAGCUUGGCGGAGCAACGGCACGUGAGUGAUGAAGGUCUUCGGAUCGUAAAACUCUGUUAUUAGGGAAGAACGAAUGUGCAAGUAAAUAUGCACGUCUUGACGGUACCUAAUCAGAAAGCCACGGCUAACUACGUG
rnacentral:rRNA from 1 species